rnacentral:tRNA from 1 species
CAAGGAAUAGUUUAGUUAGAAUAUCAGUUUUGGGUGCUGAUGGUGUGGCUGUUGCUUCUUCCUUGA